AGCCCGCUCAGAAACUACAAAGGAAUUGACGGGGCCCGGCACAAGCGGUGGAGUAUGUGGUUUAAUUCGAUGCAACGCGAAGAACCUUACCUGGUCUUGACAUCCCGGAGACCCUUAGGAAACUAGGGGGUGCUUCCAUCUGGAAGAAUCUGGAGACAGGUGCUGCAUGGCUGUCGUCAGCUCGGUGUCGUGAGAUGUUGGGUUAAGUCCGCAACGAGCGCAACCCUUGCCUUUAGUUGCCAGCAGUUCGGCUGGGCACUCUAAAGGGACUGCCGGUGUUAAACCGGAGGAAGGUGGGGAUGACGUCAAGUCCUCAUGGCCUUUAUGACCAGGGCUACACACGUACUACAAUGGCCGAUACAAAGGGCAGCGACACUGCGAAGUGAAGCCAAUCCCGUAAAAUCGGUCUCAGUCCGGAUUGGAGUCUGCAACUCGACUGCGUGAAGUCGGAAUCGCUAGUAAUCGUGAAUCAGAAUGUCACGGUGAAUACGUUCCCGGGCCUU
rnacentral:rRNA from 1 species